UUGUGGAUUGUUGUAUCCAGUUUGCUGCAUCACUGGUGUCUGUGGUAGAAAACCCCUACUUUCAUUCUCUAAUGAUUUCAGCCUUGAAUUUUUCAUGACUUGAGCUGAGAAGGGCUUUUUAGCAGCUCAUUGAUGUGUAAAAGGCCUGAUGGUAGAGUUGAUGUGGAGGUUUAGAGUUGAUCUGAUCAUUUAUCACUCCAGUGCUAAUCUGCAAAAUUGUAAUUAUUCGCCUACUUCAUGAUGUUGAUGUGGAGGUUUACAGUUGAUGUGGAGGUUUACAGUUGAUGUGGAGGUUUACAGUUGAUGUGGAGGUUUACAGUUGAUGUGGAGGUUUACAGUUGAUGUGGAGGUUUAGAGUUGAUGUGGAGGUUUAGAGUUGAUGUGGAGGUUUAGAGUUGAUGUGGAGGUUUAGAGUUGAUGUGGAGGUUUAGAGUUGAUGUGGAGGUUUAGAGUUGAUGUGGAGGUUUACAGUUGAUGUGGAGGUUUACAGUUGAUGUGGAGGUUUACAGUUGAUGUGGAGGUUUAUAGUUGAUGUGGAGGUUUACAGUUGAUGUGGAGGUUUACAGUUGAUGUGGAGGUUUAGACUAGAUGUGGAGGUUUACAGUUGAUGUGGAGGUUUAGACUUGAUGUGGAGGUUUAGACUUGAUGUGGAGGUUUAGACUUGAUGUGGAGGUUUACAGUUGAUGUGGAGGUUUAGACUUGAUGUGGAGGUUUAGACUUGAUGUGGAGGUUUAGACUAGAUGUGGAGGUUUACAGUUGAUGUGGAGGUUUACAGUUGAGGCGUAUCUUCCUCUGUCUGUGUACUGAAUCCCUGAUCCAAUUAUGUGGUCCAUUUGCUGUGUGUGUGUGUGUGUGUGUGUGUGUGUGUGUGUGUG